rnacentral:rRNA from 1 species
UGCAGUCGAACGUGAAAGGGGCUUCGGCCCUGAGUAAAGUGGAGCACGGGUGAGUAACACGUGGAUAAUCUACCCGAUGGACCGGGAUAACACUUCAAAAGGGGUGCUAAUACCGGAUAAGCCCACAGGCUCUUUGGAGCCUGCNGNAAAAGGUGGGGACCUUCGNGCCUACCGUCUUCGGAUGAGUCCCCCGCCCAUUAACUAGUUGGGGGGGUAAUGGCCUACCCAGGGAACCAUGGGUAACUGGUCUGAAAAGAUGAUCAGCCACACUGGAACUGAAACACGGGCCAGAAUCCUACGGGAAGCAGCAGUGGGGAAUUUUGCCCAAUGGGCGAAAGCCUGACCCAACAACCCCCCGUGAGUGAUGAAAGGCCUCCGGUCCUAAAGCUCUGUCCUAGGGGAAAAAACUUUUGGGGGAGAAUAUCCCUUGAAACUGACGGUACCCUC